UGGAGAAUCCGCCCAGACACCUCCAUAGCUGACAGACAGCACUUUGGAUUCGAACAAGAAAGAGAGAGAGAGAGAGAAAAAAAACAUAGAGAGAGAAAGUGAUUAAAAUAUUCAGAAAAAUUUCGAAAACUUUGAGGAUUAAUUCAUCGUUUAGAAAAAGGGAACAUGGAGAUUCUCGUCUUCCAAUGAUCCCUUCUGGUGUCACAGCUUCUUCAUAAUCAUCUAUCUCAAUUGCUGUCUGUCAUCCCAACAACAACAACGUUAAACAUCUCUCUCUCUCUCUCUCUGUGUCUCUCUCUCUUUCAUCUUCUGUUUAGACUGCACAAGGAGGGUGAUUGGAUUGAAGGAACCCCAGAAGGAGAUUUCGGAUUUUUAAGAGGAUUCGGGUUCUGAGGGUCGAAAUUUGAAUUGGGUUUUUUCUAUGGGGUUUGUUAAGGUGAGAGGCCAGUUUUGGUGAGAUAAGAGGUGGUGCUGCCAUGAUUGGGAAUAGAAAUCCGCAUAUGGGGCCUUCUCAAUCUGGCAGUGUCGCCCACAAUAUCAAACCAAGGAGGCUCUAUCAAGUUUGGAGGGGAAGCAACAAAUUUCUCUGUGGCGGGAGGUUGGUUUUUGGUCCGGAUGUAGGUUCCCUGUUUCUUACAACUUUCCUGAUUGCUGCACCUGCAAUUGCAUUUUGUGUAAAGUUAUAUCUUAAAAUCAAGAAUGGGAAGGCUAGUGAUGAAGCUCAUUGGUAUCCUGUAUUGAUUGUGGGUUCAGUUCUCACCGUUUUGGAUUUAAUAUUCCUCCUAUUGACUUCUGGUAGAGAUCCUGGAAUUGUCCCAAGAAAUUCAAAACCUCCUGAAUUAGAUGAGGCAUUUGAUAUGCCUACCCCUUCCAUGGAGUGGAUUAGUGGUACAACCCCUCAUCUGAAACUACCUCGAACUAAAGAUGUAAUUGUUAAUGGUCACACGGUAAAAGUAAAGUUCUGUGAUACAUGCUUGCUGUAUCGCCCUCCUCGGACUUCUCAUUGUUCUAUAUGCAACAACUGUGUCCAGAGAUUUGAUCAUCACUGUCCCUGGGUCGGCCAGUGCAUUGGAAUACGAAACUAUCGGUACUUCUUCAUGUUUAUUUCAACAUCAACCAUUUUGUGCAUUUAUGUCUUUGUGUUCUCUUGGAUCAGUCUUGCCCAGAAUAAAGUUUUGAAGACAAUAGCACAUGACUAUGUAGCAGAUAUUCUCAUAAUAUACUGCUUCAUUGCUAUCUGGUUCGUUGGUGGCCUCACAGCUUUCCAUUUCUAUCUCCUUUGUACAAACCAGACAACUUACGAGAAUUUCAGAUACCAAUAUGAUAAGAAGGGCAACCCAUUCAACAGGGGAUCAUUUGGAAAUAUUAGAGAAACACUUUGUUCCAGGCUUCCAAUUUCAAGAAAUAAUUUUCGAUCAUUUGUGGUGGAGGAUGAACAUGUGACGGUUGGGUCUCUGACACCAAAUAUUAUGGAAGGAAUCUUGACCCCCAAGGAGAAAAUUGAUAUUGAAAUGGGAUCUAUGCGUGCAGAAGAUGGUGGUUUUCCAAUUCCUGAACUUCUGCGAAAAUUUGAUUUUGAUAAUUUUGACGAUGACAUGAGGUUCACGGAUGAGGAGGGACAACCUUCGUUUGAUCCGUUCUACAGUGUUGAUGAAGACAUUAAAGACUCAACCCGAACAUCUGUUGCUACAGUUCUAAAUUUCCAUAGCAUCACAACUGAAGAUGGAUUGGAAGAGUCCAUGCAUAGUUCCCAUGGUGGUGUGGAAUUCAGAGAAUUUUCCCAAAGGCCUGUUAUUGUUGAUGUAAGAAAUGCAACAAAAGAAACAGAUGACAGAAACUAGUCCUGUUAAGCCACAAAUGCCAGCUUUUGCUUUUUAACGCACAGAGGUUCUCUUCUUACUCUUCAUCCCUUUUUGGUAAAUUUUGGGUAUUGGCUGUCUGGAAUUUUCAUACCUAUAAAACCAUGCUCUGGCUUAAGCCUGGAUUUGUCCAAGGAUGAAUUGAUGCUUGAGUUUGAUCAUUGGUAGAACUUCUUUCCACGGCUCCUCUUAUUUGAGACAUGAAAUCCGAUGCUUGAAGUAGGAAUUGCUUUGAUUUUAUCAUACAUAAUGGGCUGAGUUGAGCAGAUCAUAUUGAAAGUUUCCGUGGAUAGUUUUCUUCCACAGUUGCUGCAAUUAGUGGAUUGAAAGAAUUUCUGAGAUGCAGGAUUCAUGCAAGUUCAUUGGUGCUGAAAUGGGGGAGAGUGAACUUCUCUCUCAUUUAGUGUAAAAGUGUGCUAAGUGUGUUGUUGUAAGCUGUAAAUGCCACUUGCAUUCAAAAUAAUGCAGAAAGAUUGUCUGGCUAAGUUUUAUGAUAGGUGGUGCUGUGUUAGUUGUGCCUAUCUCUUCCACUCAGUCCUUUGCUAAGAUCUAGAUGGAUGAUUUUUUCAUUUAUUAUUAGAAAUUUAGAGUUUCUGUAAGUAGUACAUUGAUUUCUCUUUGUAAGAAGUGUAUAAUUUCCUCUC